UACGGCGGGGGCUAGCGUUGUUCGGAAUUACUAGGCGUAAAGCGCGCGUAGGCGUACCUGCAAGUCGGGGGUGAAAGCCCGAGGCUCAACCUCGGAACUGCCUUCGAUACUGCGGGUCUCGAGUCCGGGAGAGGUGAGUGGAAUUCCUAGUGUAGAGGUGAAAUUCGUAGAUAUUAGGAAGAACACCAGUGGCGAAGGCGGCUCACUGGCCCGGUACUGACGCUGAGGCGCGAAAGCGUGGGGAGCAAACAGG
rnacentral:rRNA from 1 species